GACGAACGCUGGCGGCGUGCUUAACACAUGCAAGUCGAACGGUGAAGCUCCAGCUUGCUGGAGUGGAUCAGUGGCGAACGGGUGAGUAACACGUGAGCAACCUGCCCCAGACUCUGGAAUAAGCGCUGGAAACGGCGUCUAAUACUGGAUACGAGAUCAAGCCGCAUGGUUAUGGUCUGGAAAGUUUUUCGGUUUGGGAUGGGCGCGCGGCCUAUCAGCUUGUUGGUGAGGUAAUGGCUCACCAAGGCGACGACGGGUAGCCGGCCUAAGAGGGCGACCGGCCACACUGGGACUGAGACACGGCCCAGACUCCUACGGGAGGCAGCAGUGGGGAAUAUUGCACAAUGGGCGAAAGCCUGAUGCAGCGACGCCGCGUGAGGGAUGACGGCCUUCGGGUUGUAAACCUCUUUCAGCAGGGAAGAAGCGAAAGUGACGGUACCUGCAGAAGAAGCACCGGCUAACUACGUG
rnacentral:rRNA from 1 species